ensembl:snRNA U6 U6 spliceosomal RNA
GUGCUUGUUUCAGCAGUGUAUAUAUUAAAAUGAGAACGAUGCAGAGGACAUUAGCAUGGCCCCUGAGCUAGGGUGGCACACACAUCAGCAAAGUGGUCUAUUGAAAC